ensembl:lncRNA
GCUUUCAUCAAGGUUAGUGUUUCUGUAGGUUGGGGGCUUUCAUCAAGGUUAGUGUUUCUAUAGGUUGGGGGCUUUCAUCAAGGUUAGUGUUUCUAUAGGUUGGGGGCUUUCAUCAAGGUUAGUGUUUCUGUAGGUUGGGGGCUUUCAUCAAGGUUAGUGUUUCUGUAGGUUGGGGCUUUCAUCAAGGUUAGUGUUUCUUUAGGUUGGGGGCUUUCAUCAAGGUUAGUGUUUCUUUAGGUUGGGGGCUUUCAUCAAGGUUAGUGUUUCUUUAGGUUGGGGGCUUUCAUCAAGGUUAGUGUUUCUAUAGGUUGGGGGCUUUCAUCAAGGUUAGUGUUUCUAUAGGUUGGGGGCUUUCAUCAAGGUGUUUCUUUAGGUUGGGGGCUUUCAUCAAGGUUAGUGUUUCUAUAGGUUGGGGGCUUUCAUCAAGGUUUGUGUUUCUAUAGGUUGGGGGCUUUCAUCAAGGUUAGUGUUUCUAUAGGUUGGGGGCUUUCAUCAAGGUUAGUGUUUCUAUAGGUUGGGGGCUUUCAUCAAGGUUAGUGUUUCU